UACCACUUACGGUCGUGGAUGAUUCUUUUAAAAUAAGUAUUUAUAAGAUCUCAGAAGUAAAUAUAAAUGUCCAUCUAAAGCUUUGGAGGCCCAAACAACAUCAUGACAAACCAUCAUACCACGCCCCGGUCAAUAUUAGACGACAGGUGCGUGGAGAGAGACCAGCACCUUUACAGCAGCAAGAAAAUGAGAGGGGGCAUGCUUUUUGUCGACUAUAAAAGCCCGACUCCCGCCGGACUGAUUCACAGGACCUCCAGGUACGGAAAGGCGCACGUUUGGGGACCCUCCAUCGUGGCUUUGGGACUGCAACGGUGAGCCAGACAGGCUUGGGUGUGAAGGGACAGGGAACUGAAACAUGAGGGGAAUGAAAGUCUAUCGGAUUUAAGUUUUACUACAGCAUUUUUUGGAGAUUACCACCGUGCACACGGCUGAACUUGGAUGGAUAAAACUGCACUUGCUCAACGUUGAGCCACACGCACAAUACAUGUGGAUUCAGUUUUGUUCGUUCGGCUCGCGUUAAGCAAGAGCAGAACUUCUUCAGGCGCCGAAGUUCUGGAGCAUCUUUGGAAUUUGAAGCAUCCUGAGCACAGCUGGAAUUGUUUUAUGAAUAGAAAAUAAAAGCGUCAACCCAUACUUUAUAACACUUGGAAGAGAAAGCAUGUAGUGUAUAUUGUUUUUGAAAGAAAUCAUUAAAAAUGUGUGUUGAUCAUUGUGAUAAAACACUGUGAGAACUUGGGGUUUUGAAUGAGAAAUAAGAGCCGAAACCACAUGGAGCUCAUAAAUUUGCAGACCAAUGCAAAUGUUAGCAACUGCUCAGCCUUCUGAAAUAAUCACGAUGAUUUACAACGUCACCUGUUGUCCCACACAAUGUUUAUGAGAUAAAAGUGAUCCACUUCCUCUAUUCUGAGCUGGUUUUAAAUUACUUCAGCACUUCUUGUUGUCUGUUGCAAUAAUUUACAAUAAUGAUUUAAAUUAAUGUAAUAUCAAAGCAAAAUAAAAUUCUUAAUAACUUCUCA